rnacentral:rRNA from 1 species
UUAUAUAAGAAAAAUUUUACCGUAGGAGUAAAAGAUGAAAUUAAAAUAGGUUGGCGGCGUGCUGCCUGAAUAGAGGAAUCUGAAUAAGAGUCGACAGUCCGCGAAUAGCUUAUCUAAUUUGGUUGUUUGUAUAUCUCCGUUGUAAGAAGAUUUUAGAAAAAUAUUUUCUUUAGGUCAGAAAUGAUCUUAUGACAGGUCAAGGUGCAGCUUAUGAUUAGGUUGUUUUGGAUUACAAUUUUUGAAAAAAUUACGGAUUUUAAUUUGGAAUAAUUAGGAAGAAGGUGGAUUUAUUAGUAAUAGAAUUUUUGUGUGGUUUUAUGAAUAAGGAAUAGUAUGUGU